GAUGAAGAACGCAGCGAAAUGCGAUAAGUAAUGUGAAUUGCAGAAUUCAGUGAAUCAUCGAAUCUUUGAACGCACAUUGCGCCCGCCAGUAUUCUGGCGGGCAUGCCUGUUCGAGCGUCAUUACAACCCUCAGGCCCCCGGGCCUGGCGUUGGGGAUCGGCGGAGCCCCCCGUGGGCACAUGCCGUCCCCCAAAUACAGUGGCGGUCCCGCCGCAGCUUCCAUCGCGUAGUAGCUAACACCUCGCGACUGGAGAGCGGCGCGGCCACGCCGUAAAACACCCAACUCUUCUGAAGUUGACCUCGAAUCAGGUAGGAAUACCCGCUGAACUUAAGCAUAUCAAUAAGCGGAGGA
rnacentral:misc_RNA from 1 species